rnacentral:misc_RNA from 1 species
UCGAGUGUUAAAACUCCCAAACCCCUGUGAACAUACCUAUGUUGCUUCGGCGGUUUCGUCCCGGGCGCCCCGUGUGUCCCGGAGCCAGGCGGCCGCCGGAGGAUACAAACUCUUGUUUUAUUGAGAAUCUUCUGAGUAUAACAAACAAAUAAAUUA